CCUACGGGUGGCAGCAGUGAGGAAUAUUUGUCAAUGGGCGCGAGCCUGAACCAGCCAAGUAGCGUGAAGGAUUACUGCCCUACGGGUUGUAAACUUCUUUUAUAAAGGAAUAAAGUGAAGCACGUGUGCCUUUUUGUAUGUACUUUAUGAAUAAGGAUCGGCUAACUCCGUGCCAGCAGCAGGGGGAAUAAGGAGGCUUCAAGAGUUAUCCGGAUUUAUUGGGUUUAAAGGGUGCGUAGGCGGUCGGAUAAGUUAGUGGUGAAAUCCCGUGGCUGAACUUAGGAAUUGCAUCUGAUACUGUUCGGCUAGAGAGUAGUUGAGGUAGGCGGAAUGUAUGGUGUAGCGGUGAAAUGCGUAGAGAUAAUACAGAACACCGAUUGCGAAGGCAGCAUAUCAGGCUACUUCUGACGUUGAGGCACGAAAGCGUGGGGAGCAAACAGGAUUAGAUACCCCGGUAGUC
rnacentral:rRNA from 1 species